GAUGAACGCUGGCGGCGUGCCUAAUACAUGCAAGUCGAGCGAACAGACGAGGAGCUUGCUCCUCUGACGUUAGCGGCGGAUGGGUGAGUAACACGUGGAUAACCUACCUAUAAGACUGGGAGAACUUCGGGAAACCGGAGCUAAUACCGGAUAAUAUAUUGAACCGCAUGGUUCAAUAGUGAAAGACGGUUUUGCUGGCAUUUAUAGAUGGGGCCGCGCCGCAUUAGGUAGUUGGGAAAGUAACAGCUUACCAAGGCAACGAUGCGUAGCCGACCUGAGAGGGUGAUCGGCGACACUGGAACGUGGACACGGUCCAUGCUCCUACGGGAGGCAGCAGUAGGGAAUCUUCCGCAAUGGGCGAAAGCCUGACGGAGCAACGCCGCGUGAGUGAUGAAGGUCUUCGGAUCGUAAAACUCUGUUAUUAGGGAAGAACAAAUGUGUAAGUAACUAUGCACGUCUUGACGGUACCUAAUCAGAAAGCCACGGCUAACUACGUG
rnacentral:rRNA from 1 species